rnacentral:rRNA from 1 species
ACUAACUAGGAUUCCCCCAGUAGCGGCGAGCGAACAGGGAAAAGCCCAGCACUGAAUCCCGUGGUCGGAAACGAUCACUGGGAAAUGUAGUGUUAGGGAGGAUUCACAUUCCAGCGAUUGUGUGACUUGUCCAAGUCUUUCUUGAACGGGGCCACUUAUCCAUAGAGGGUGCCAGGCCCGUAGGACAGUCGCCGAUUGCUGGAGAAUCUCUCCUCAGAGUCGGGUUGCUUGAGAGUGCAGCCCUAAGCAGGUGGUAAACUCCAUCUAAGGCUAAAUAUGACCACGAGACCGAUAGCGAACAAGUACCGUGAGGGAAAGUUGAAAAGAACUUUGAAGAGAGAGUUCAAGAGUACGUGAAACCGUUCAGGGGUAAACCUGAGAAACCCGAAAGUUCGAAAUGGGGAGAUUCAGCGCGACUCGUGGUUCCGUUGGCUGGUGGUUYUGUAUGACGUAAUUUCGCUUGCGGUAUUGCGCAUCAUCACCAUGYCAUUUACGGGCUCGAUCGUGUGCACUUCUCCACCAAGUAGAACGUCGCGACUCGUUGGGUGUCGGUCGAAGGCCCGGUGUGGAGCCCGGUGUUGGCGUUUUCGGACGCGCUUCAUCGGACCACUGGUUGCCCGGCCGGCUCGCCCGACGGUAGUUCGAUGGCGUGGGGCCGCGACAUGUUCGCGUCCGGCCCGUCGCAAGUAUGAACGGUAUACAACCGGGUAAUUCGGACCUAGUGCCGGAUCCUGGCCCGUUCUGCUGUUGGCGGCGGUGUCCUCGGACAGACCCCGUAGUGUGUUUGUAUAUACUGCAUACGCGCCUGUCUGCGACGCUAUUGCUUUGGGUACUUUCAGGGCCCGUCUUGAAACACGGACCAAGGAGUCUAGCAUGUACGCGAGUCAUUGGGACUUGCAAAGCCUAAAGGCGUAAUGAAAGUAAUGAUGCAUUGCCGUCAUCAUCACUCUCGGGUGGUGGUGACACAACGUAUCAAGGGAGGAUGCGUCAYGUUACGGCGUGAUGCCGCACUCCCGGGGCGUCUCGUUCUCAUUGCGAGAUGAGGCGCACCUAGAGCGUACACGCUGGGACCCGAAAGAUGGUGAACUAUGCCUGGUCAGGACGAAGUCAGGGGAAACCCUGAUGGAGGUCCGUAGCGAUUCUGACGUGCAAAUCGAUCGUCGGAACUGGGGAUAGGGGCGAAAGACUAAUCGAACCAUCUAGUAGCUGGUUCCCUCCGAAGUUUCCCUCAGGAUAGCUGGCACUCAUUAUGUUGCGAGUUUCAUCCGGUAAAGCGAAUGAUUAGAGGCAUUGGGGUCGAAACGGCCUCAACCUAUUCUCAAACUUUAAAUGGGUGAGAUCUCCGGCUUGCUUAAAUGUGCGCAAGUGAAGCCGCGAGAAGAAUCAGAG